GUAGCCUCUAUCUACCCUCUCCCUCUCUAAUUAGAUUUAUACACCAGAAAAUCAAUGAAUCACCUGAAAAAUAAAUUAAGUGGAUGUAUGUAUUCACAUAUUUAGGCUUCGAAUGGUAAAAACGGUUCAAGCAGUGCAGAUCAAGCAGAUCAAGCGGAUCAAGAAUGAGAAGUGCAGAUCAAGCAGAUCAAACAGGAGAAGUGCAGAUCAAACAGAUCAAACAGGAAAGUUACAGAAUAUGCAGGAGAAAUGCGGAUCAAUCAGAACAAACAUUUAUUAUAUUUUUACGCCACCAUGACCGCAAAGCCAUUUACCUAAUUGAUCUCUUGAAACCUCUUGCUGGAUUAACUGGUGUUGAUCUGUGGAAAUCAUUGCCUGAUGUGGCUGCAAUUGCUGCGGCACGGAGUUGGUUUGCGUUGUCAAAGGAGGAAAGAGCUGCCUACAUUGAUGAGGCUACUCGUCUCUCUCUAGCGUCCGGAGCCAGACACGCCCGACAGGAAAUGGCUAAAAAUCAAGACUAUGUGCGUAGUGUCUACUGUAACGUGGGUUUAACAAAAUCCAGGCAGAAGCUGCCAAGGAUAGAUCCAGUGCCUUCGUCAUUUUUUGGUAACCUUCAUCCCAAUUUCCCAAGUUAUUCAUAAAUUGUUUUAAACCUUAAUCUUCUUAGUUUGAUGAUCUCCAGCAAGGAAUUACUAGAACGUCCCUGAUUCUAAAUCGAUCAUAUGGGUCAAACUAGUUUUUGAUUUGCCUUUAAAUUCUUUAUUUUCCAUGUUUCUUAUUUGCUUUUCAACUUCAUACAUUUCUCAUUCUUUUAUACUAUUUUCUAUAGAGAAUAUCUUUCUCUUGUCAAAUAAAAAACUGCUGAUUCUUAAUUUGUUUUGCAUUUAUUUUUGAUAAUUUCUACUUUUUCGAAGCUCUAUAUAACAAUUAAAAAUCUUUUUCUUUCUGGAUUUUUUUUAAAUACUUUUUAGUUACUAUGUUUCUUUUGUUUUAUUGACUAUUUCUCUUGUAACUAAAACAGCUUUCUAAUCUCUAAUAAUUUAUAUAAUAAUACUAUAAAUUAUAUUAAUAAAUAAUAUUAUAAAAUAAUUUAAUAUAUUAAUUAGAAUUAUGACCCCGGUAGAAAUAUGUUCUGGCUCCGCCACUGUGCGGGAGGACCACAUCUUGUCAUCUUCUCAAAGUCAUCGGUUAACUUCAACGACAGCAAGUUAUGGACGCAGAAAAAACGUUUAUUACGGAACAAGAAGACCACCAAAAUGACAAAAAGGUUUUCUCCCAAAAAGUGUUCAUCAAUAGCUUCCGUAGCCUCUAUCUAUCUCUCCCUCUCCCUCUCUAAUUAGGUUUAUACACCAGAAAAUCAAUGAAUCACCUGAAAAGAAAUUAAGUGGAUGUAUGUAUUCAGAUUUUUAGUGCAAAGAAUCACCUACUUGUGUUCUCUUUUCAUUAUCAUCUCUUUUUAGCUUUUAUCCCUUUUCUUUGAAUCCAAUCGUGUUAUUAAUUAUGGUAGUAAUGAUUAUCAAUCAAUUAAUGAUUAAUACGGUAGAUGUUUUAUUGA